UGGGGAAUUUUGGACAAUGGGGGAAACCCUGAUCAAGCCAUCCCGCGUGUGCGAUGAAGGCCUUCGGGUUGUAAAGCACUUUUGGCAGGAAAGAAACGUCAUGGGUUAAUACCCCGUGAAACUGACGGUACCUGCAGAAUAAGCACCGGCUAACUACGUGCCAGCAGCCGCGGUAAUACGUAGGGUGCAAGCGUUAAUCGGAAUUACUGGGCGUAAAGCGUGCGCAGGCGGUUCGGAAAGAAAGAUGUGAAAUCCCAGAGCUCAACUUUGGAACUGCAUUUUUAACUACCGGGCUAGAGUGUGUCAGAGGGAGGUGGAAUUCCGCGUGUAGCAGUGAAAUGCGUAGAUAUGCGGAGGAACACCGAUGGCGAAGGCAGCCUCCUGGGAUAGCACUGACGCUCAUGCACGAAAGCGUGGGGAGCAAACAGG
rnacentral:rRNA from 1 species